UACAGAGGGUGCGAGCGUUGUCCGGAAUCACUGGGCGUAAAGGGCGCGUAGGCGGCUUUUUAAGUCAGGGGUGAAAUCCUGGAGCUCAACUCCAGAACUGCCUUUGAUACUGGGAGCUUGAGUCCGGAAGAGGUGAGUGGAACUCCGAGUGUAGAGGUGAAAUUCGUAGAUAUUCGGAAGAACACCAGUGGCGAAGGCGGCUCACUGGUCCGGUACUGACGCUGAGGUGCGAAAGCGUGGGGAGCAAACAGG
rnacentral:rRNA from 1 species